UGCCCAGCAACUCUUAUAUCUACCUCCUUGUGGUAUUGGCCGGGGUACGAGUAACCUUAGGGAUGAUCGAAUAACCAACCCCGGUGUGAACUUUAGUCGUUUACUGAUAGGGAAGG
rnacentral:ribozyme from 1 species